GACGAACGCUGGCGGCGUGCCUAAUACAUGCAAGUCGAACGCACUCUCGUUAGAUUGAAGAAGCUUGCUUCUGAUUGAUAACAUUUGAGUGAGUGGCGGACGGGUGAGUAACACGUGGGUAACCUGCCCUAAAGUGGGGAUAACAUUUGGAAACAGAUGCUAAUACCGCAUAAAACCUAGCACCGCAUGGUGCAAGGUUGAAAGAUGGUUUCGGCUAUCACUUUAGGAUGGACCCGCGGUGCAUUAGUUAGUUGGUGAGGUAAAGGCUCACCAAGACCGUGAUGCAUAGCUGACCUGAGAGGGUAAUCGGCCACACUGGGACUGAGACACGGCCCAGACUCCUACGGGAGGCAGC
rnacentral:rRNA from 1 species